rnacentral:sRNA from 1 species
ACAAGCUGAACAAAAACUGGGGUUCCUUAAGCAGAGCCCCUCUGAGCAGGGAGCCCAGCUGAGAUGCACAUCUGCACAUCCUGAACAAGAAGAUCUCAACUGUGGAUGCUCUGUCUGUGGUCUGCAUCAGAACUGUGUUUCUAAGUAAAACCUCAGUCCACACAAUCUAGAAAGAAUUAUGAACAUACCUCAGAGGAGGCAUCUGGAAAAGCAAAGAACACAAUUUCCUGAAGGAAGUUGCACUCAGAGAAGGAGAUCCAGCAUGAAUGUAGUAUUCAGAGACAGACUAUAAGGAUUUCUCUCCAAGAAAUACUGGUGGUGACUGGGUUACCCCCACAAAUCUUUAUCUUUCUAUCUAGUACUGAGCCUGAGGUACUGAGGGUCAGCUUAACCAGCAGUUGGGGAGGACAGGUACAUGAGCAUAGCACCUGGCUGUCCUGAGAUUUGUGAGGAUUCAGUGAGACCCAGAAAGCCAAUGGAAUCUAGAAGGAUAAACGUCCCUCACCUCCUCAGUUCCUCUGGUUUGGGGGAGCAUCGGAAGAAGCCAUGCCACAGACUCGAUUUGAAUAAACAAAAGCUAUAGAAAUGAGGGGUAGAGUGUUAAUGGUAAAAUGAGCUGGAAUCUAAUGGACAUCAAAUAUUUAUGGGGCCUGAAUCUGCAAGGCUAUAUAAAAAUAAUUAAAUAUAUCACACCUCUUUCUUAAAUCUUGUACAGUUGCCUUUCCCAUGUCCACCCCCAAAACAGAGCAAUGUGGAGAAGGAAAUUCUGAGCAAUGUGUUUGAAGAUAUGUUUUUAAGGAUUAUUUUUUUUUUCGGAGCUGGGGACCGAACCCAGGGCCUUGCGCUUCCUAGGCAAGCGCUCUACCACUGAGCUAAAUCCCCAACCCCUAAGGAUUAUUUUUUAUAUCAUGUGUGUAACCUUUUUGUCAGCAUUUAUAUGUGUGUACUGGGUGAAGUCUGGUGCUCAUGGAGGCCAGAGGGGAUAUUAGAUUCUGGAAAUUGGAGUUAUUGGAGGAAAGGAUUUACCACGUGGAUGUCACACACUGAAUCUAAGUCCUCUGCAAAAGCAAUGACUGCUUUUAAUUAGUGAGUGUAUAUUCCAGCCCCUAUUUCUAGAUAAUUUGCAUAAACUGUACAUAAAGGAGGUAAAUAACUUGAAUUCACCAAUUAUAAAGCAUAGGUACCUGGGGGCAUUAACAAAGUACUAUAUGUGUCUCCAGGAAACACUUCCCACAGCUAAGAACAUCAAACACUGAAAGUCAAACCAUAGAGAUCAACAUUGGAAGUAAUUGUCAGCUGUAAACAUGGCACUGCACGUCUCAUAUUUGACAAAGGAGACUUCAGGCCACAGCUAGUCAGAGAGCUGAGGAGAGCCACUGCAUAGCCACAGAGGGCAAGUCUUGUGCAUGUGAGUACACGGAGCAUGGCUCCCAGUUCAACAAAAUAAACUCUAGUUGACAGAAAAUGUUACAUGGGUCCCUAAUCAGUAAUGAUCUUAGACUUCAAUGUUUCACUGUGACUUUAGCAAGUUUUCCUAAAUUAAAAACCAACAAGGAAACUUCAGAGCAAAAGAUUCUGCAGGUCCACCUCUCUGAGUUUGGCAGGAGAAUCCCAGGCAGGGAAGGGAAGCCAAUGUGCACUCAGAGAACUCACUGAAUGCAAGCGACAGAAUCUUAGCAGAUGCAAAAUUUAUAUUCUUUACUGUAAGAAGCAAAAGCCUGAUAAGUCAACAAGGGACACAAAUUUUAAAGAAAAUUUUAAUCAAUAAAUAACUGUAAUAUCCUA